rnacentral:rRNA from 1 species
GCGAGAGACCGAUAGCGCACAAGUAGAGUGAUCGAAAGAUGAAAAGCACUUUGGAAAGAGAGUUAAAAAGCACGUGAAAUUGUUGAAAGGGAAGCGCUUGCAAUCAGACUUGUUUAAACUGUUCGGCCGGNUCUUCUGACCGGUUUACUCAGUUUGGACAGGCCAGCAUCAGUUUCGGCGGCCGGAUAAAGGCUCUGGGAAUGUGGCCUCCACUUCGGUGGAGNNGUUAUAGCCCAGGGUGUAAUACGGCCAGCCGGGACUGAGGUCCGCGCNUCGGCUAGGA